ACUCAAAGGAAUAGACGGGGGCCCGCACAAGCGGUGGAGCAUGUGGUUUAAUUCGACGCAACGCGAAGAACCUUACCAAGGCUUGACAUCUACAGAAACCCUAAGAGAUUAGGGAGUGCCCUUCGGGGAACUGUAAGACAGGUGGUGCAUGGUUGUCGUCAGCUCGUGUCGUGAGAUGUUGGGUUAAGUCCCGCAACGAGCGCAACCCCUAUAUUCAGUUGCCAGCAUGUAAAGAUGGGAACUCUGGAUAGACUGCCGGUGACAAACCGGAGGAAGGUGGGGAUGACGUCAAAUCAUCAUGCCCCUUAUGUCUUGGGCUACACACGUGCUACAAUGGGCAGUACAGACGGAAGCGAAGCUGUGAAGUGAAGCAAAUCCGAGAAAGCUGUUCGUAGUUCGGAUUGUAGGCUGCAACUCGCCUACAUGAAGUCGGAAUCGCUAGUAAUCGCAGGUCAGCACACUGCGGUGAAUACGUUCCCGGGCCUUGUACACACCGCCCGU
rnacentral:rRNA from 1 species